rnacentral:sRNA from 1 species
GCCAUCUGGAUCUCAUCAUUCUGAAUGC